rnacentral:rRNA from 1 species
CGGCAACAGCUCAAAUUUGAAAUCUGGCCUCUCGGGGUCCGAGUUGUAAUUUGUAGAGGAUGUUUUGGGUACCGCCCCGGUCUAAAUUUCUUGGAACAGAAUGUCAAAGAGGGUGAGAAUCCCGUAUGUGACUGGAUACCUAUGCUCAUGUGAAGCUCUUUCGAC